CGGGGAGUAGCUCAGCCAGAGAGAGCGCCUGAUUUCCACCCAGGAGGCCGCGCGUGCAAAUCGCGUCUCCCCGA
rnacentral:tRNA from 1 species